GACGAACGCUGGCGGCGUGCCUAAUACAUGCAAGUCGAACGCAGUGGGGACGGGUGAGUAACACGUGGGUAACCUACCAUCAGAGGGGAUAACACUUGGAAACAGGUGCUAAACCGAUACUGAUGGAUGGACCCGCGGUGGAUUAGCUAGUGGGGGGGGUAACGGCUCACCAAGGCCACGAGGCAUAGCCGACCUGAAAGGGUGGUCGGCGACACUGGGACGGAGACACGGCCAAGACUCCUACGGGAGGCAGCAGUAGGGAAUCUUCGGCAAUGGACGAAAGUAUGACCGAGCAACGCCGCGUGAGUGGAGAAGGUGUUCGGAGCGUAAAACUGUGUUGUUAGAGAAGCGGUAUCUAACCAGAAAGCCACGGCUAACUACGUGCCAGCAGCCGCGGUAAUUC
rnacentral:rRNA from 1 species